UGCGUUCGCGCUCUCCCCUCACUCUUGUGUCCAAUAGCAAAUGUAGACGGAGGGGCUACUCGCUUUUCCUUUCUCUUUCGCCCCCACUUGCGCUACUGCUUUCUCUCUCUCUCGCUCUCCUGUGCUUGCUCCCGCUCCGCGCUUACAGGAGUCCACCUGUAUAUUGAUUACAGGGCGGCGUGUACCUGUAUAAAGGGAAGCCGGGUUUUCUCGUUGGAUUAUUUCCUCCCGAGCUUCUGGUGCGAUACAGCGGUAGACGCUGGCUUGUUGGUUAAAUUACUGAGGCGAUCAGGUCAUGUGAUUGCUACAGGUAGGUCUCCCCUUCGAUUUCUGAUUUCUCCCUAACGUCGGCAAUUAGUAGUUAUAUUUUUGCGGCCCGCUACAGCGCGGCUGUUUUUCUUUCCUUUGAUCCAGCCGUGGUGAGGAGACGCGUGAGUGCAUCCGCCGUGCAGUACAGUGCCUCCAAGUUCUGGGGUAAGCCGCUUAUUUUAUAGCUGCUAGUUUUGUAAAUUAAAGAAGAUUAAGGUUAGUUUUGCCUUUUCUUAUUUGUAGGGUUUGAUUGCUGCCGUGCCCUCUCGGGGACCAACCGCCUGCUUUGGUUACGUAGAGAGUCGGGCGCCUGCUCUGCUGCUGUCUUGUUUUGUUGAUCUUGUUUGUUUGAUUUUGUUUUGCCCUGUUUUGUUUUGUGUUGUUUUGGUUAUAUUACGGUUAAUCUGUCGGCGGCCCGGUUUUUCAUUGUAGCUUGCCUUGCCACGCCCUCUUGGACUAUCGUUCGCUCCAGCUUUUUGUGGCUGGCCGGGGCGAUUCUCGGCUGUAUAUUGGGCUGGUUAUACAAACUGGUACUGCCUCUCCCCUUUCUCCCAGCUGUGGGAAGUUGUGUGAGACCGAGCAGACCAAGGACAAUCGGACCCAGCACCAGCUGUGGGCUGGUUCGCCGAGCGAAAGUAUUUCUAACCAGUGCUCUGUGGUGUAUAUCUGGUGGACGGAGGAUCUACCAGCGGCUGUGGGACCGUAGGUGGUGGGUCGUUUUCCACGCUUCUUUUGUUGUACAGCACCAGGUGAAAAGACUGUAGUAGGUUUCCUUUGUGUGGUUGUGCUGACCCCUGUGAAUUCCCCACAUGCGGGAAUCUCAACUGCAUAAUUUGUGGUAGUGGGGGACUGCGUUCGCGCUCUCCCCUCACUCUUGUGUCCAAAAGCAAAGAUCCAUGUGUCUGCUCUUCUCUCCGUCUGGCCUUUGAACUGGGACAAAAUGCAAUGGCGUGCUCACCGUCACUGGAUUCAGGCAUUAUGCGUGCUAGGCACCAUCAGCCAGAGUGCUGCAUGUGGAAAGGGGACCCCUGUCUCCCACACUGCCAACUCAUACUUACCUGGCAGGGGGGAUACCAUGAUCACGAAGGUGGUUCGCCCAGGGCGAGGCUCAGCCAUUGCACUGCGGUUG